GGGAACUAAACAUAGAUAUUGUUUGAGACACUUGUAUUGUAACUUAAAGUAGAAGUUUGGGGGAGGAACAUUAAUUAGGGAUAUCAUGAUGGCAGCAGCCAAGGCUACAUAUGUUGAGGCAUGGGAUGAGAAAAUGGAUGAGCUUAAGAAAGUGAAUGAGAAGGCAUGAGUGGUUGAGUGCAAUUCCCACAACAACAUGGUGCAAGCAUGCCUUUAGUUAUUAUCCUAGGUGCGAUGUUUUGAUGAAUAAUCUUAGUGAAUUCUUCAAUAGCACCAUUUUGUUAGCUAGAGAUAAGCCUAUCAUUAAAAUGUUUGAGUGGAUUAGGGUGUAUAUCAUGAAUAGGUUUGUUGCAUUAAACGAAAAAUUAGGGAGGUAUAAGGGUAAUGUUAUAUGCCUAAGCCUAGAAAGAGACUUGAUAGGAAAAUUGAGAAAAGUGGAAAUUAGUUAGCCUCGUGGUGUAAUGUUUCAAAAUUUGAAGUCACUCACAUGGUUGGGAGGGAUAGAUUUGUCAUUGACAUUAAAGCACAGUCAUGUUCAUGUAACUUUUGGGAGUUGGUUGGGAUCCCUUGUAGGCAUGUAGUGGCUACCAUUACGUAUUCGGGAGAAGAUCCAAAAUUUUAUGUGCACAAAUAUUACUAAAGAGAGGCAUAUAAAAAAUGCUAUGGCCAGUUCAUUGCACCUAAUAACGGAGAGCGUUUAUGGCCCAAGACUGAUAAUGAACCUAUUUACCUCCUACUUACAAACGUGGACCAAGAAGGCCUAAGAAACUACGAAUAAGAGAACUAGUUGAAGAUUCAACAGCCACUAAACUAGAAAGGUCAAAUACAAGGAACGGAUGUAGCAAGUGCCACAAGGUAGGCCACAACGCUAGGAAAUGUAAGCUACCUCCACCUGUUCUAGAUGAUGUGACUAAGACUAAAACUAUCAUAAACAAUGCACCAGUCGAUGUUUGUUCCCAAAAUCAAGUUGCACCAACAACAAAGGGCAUAGUAAAUGUUAAUCCUAGUCAUGAUAAUACUGCAAAUACAAUUGUUGCUACAACUAUUGGAAAUGCAAUUGCUACUGCAACUAUUGGAAAUGCAGUUGCUAUGGUAUCAAAUAUUGACUACUGGAAUGCAACCAACUAUGAUAUAUAAUAUGCUAAUUUUUUUUCUACUAUUGUCACAACACUUACUUAAUGAUAAUGCUAGAAUUGAUUUGACAAAGAAUGUUGCAAGUGUUGCUGGUCCACAUGUUUCACUGCCAAAGAGGAAAAAUGAAGUUGCUAACAUGGAGGUAACUAGUGUUUCAAAGAAAGCUAAAACAGGGAAGAAAAACUUAGGGAUUGGUGCACUUGCUACAGGAAAAAACAACAAUAACUAGGGGACUGAUAAAGGAGCAGAUGAUGGGUCUACAUUAGGAAAAUAAUGAAAGAUUAUGCUGUUAUAGAUCACUAGUUCUAGAACCUUGUUGGAUUAUUUUUUGGAUAUGCAAGUUGUGUACAACAAUUGAAUAUAAGGCUUUGAUUUAGUUGACGGGUAUAAAUCGUAUAGGAUUUAUUUUUUGUAUUUUGCACAAUAAUUGCUUUUAGAUGGCAUAAACAAAUACCAUUUAUUUUGCAUAGGUAAUACAAAUUGUAUAGGAUUUUCUUUUGUAUUUUGCAAAGCAAUUUCUUUCAUCACCAAU